rnacentral:pre_miRNA from 1 species
UCUCAUGGAUGAGUAAAGAAAAUAGUUUCUUGAGAUAAAGUCUAUUCUUGGUAAAGAUGCUAUGCA